ACCACCUCUUUGUGCACUUUGUAUGUGACGUUUAUCAAAUGUUUAGCUGAGGUCAAAUGAGGUUCCAUUGCCUACUCAUAGAGUUAUUCUUUGCAUAGUCUGAAACCUCUAAACGUGUUUCUAUUUAUCGCCAUUCAGCCAAAGGUAACGACAUGCCAGGACUUUCUCUCUUUGUCCUGGAAUAGAUUACCCUCUAUUGAACGUUCUCUUAAAGAGCAUUGAAAGGGAACAGUUUCAGUUGCUCUAUUGAGCAUUGACAAUGGUCAGACCAAUGGGGACAUGAUUAAACCAAAGCAAUGGCUUCAGGAACGUUUGGGAUUUGAGUGAAUGGACCGUCGUGUACUCAUCACAAUGGCGCCAGGCUCAGACGGAUUCUGACAACUGGAGUUUUUGUUUGCUCUAUGGCAGAAGUCGAGGUUCACGGCCUUGUGGCGGAGACACGGGAACUCGAUGAGUGUGCCGCUUCUCCCGCAGAGUAUGUGGUUCCGAAGAUGACAUCAUUUUGCAAUUGGAAUAGAACGUUUGAUCAAUAAAAAAAAUGACUUUAUUUCUUGGAAUUGCUCUCCACCACCACCUCGGAGUUCAUGCCCUCACUGACAAGACAGAGGUCAUUUUCUUGUCUGAAGAAAUGAUGAUUGUCUUGAUGUGUCUCUCAACGACAAUUUGCUUACAAUUCACAAGACUAACAGUACCCUUCCACUUAACUAUACCCGAGAGCUUUCCGACGGAUGUGCUUCGUGUUUAAUUGUAAUCAUCCUCAGUGUCGUUAGGUAGGCUCAACCUAAAAUGUAUCGUUACUGUAUCAUAUCGAAGCCCCUGUAUCUAGAUAUGUAUCAAAUCAUCUUGAAAGGGAAAGAUGCACAUCCCUAUUAACAUGUAUGCUUUUUAUUUUGUAUGCAUGCAAUGCCACCAUCAUAUUGUAACACCAGCACACCGUUCUUACAAUAUGUCUCGCUCAGCAUGUCAAGUAAAUCUCAUCAAUGUGUUAUACAGUGGCAAGAAAAAGUAUGUGAACCCUUUUGGAAUGACCUCGAUUUCUGCAUAAAUUGGUCAUCAAAUUUGAUCUGAUCGUCAUCUAAGUCACAACAAUAGACAAACAAUAGUGUGCUUAAACUAAUAACACACAAAUGAUUGUAUUUUUCUUGUCUAUAUUUAAACAUUCACAGUGUAGGUUGGAAAAAGUAGGUGAACCCCUAGGCUAAUGACUUCUCCAAAAGCUAAUUGGAGUCAGGAGUCAGCUAACCUGGAAUCCAAUCAAUGAGACGAAAUUAGAGAUGUUGGUUAGAGCUGCCUUGCCCUAUAAAAAACACUUGCAAAAUGAGAGUUUGCUAUUUUCAAGAAGCAUUGCCUGAUGUGAACCAUGCCUCAAAACAUAAGAGAUCUCAGCUGGAAAGGGUUACAAAAGUAUUUCUAAAAGCCUUGAUGUCCAUCAGUCCACAGUAAGACAAAUGGUCUAUAAAUGGAGAAAGUUCAGCACUUUUGCUAAAAAAAAGGCACAGCACACCAACAUCAAAACCUCAUCCCAACUGUAAAGUAUGGUGGAGGGAGCAUCAUGGUUUGGGGCUGCUUUGCUGCCUCAGGGACUGGACAUCUUGCUAUCAUCGACGGAAAAAUGAUUUCCCAAGUUUAUCAAGACAUUUUUGCAGAAGAAUGUCCGCCAAUUGAAGCUCAAAAGAAGUUGGGUGAUGCAACAGGACAACGACCCAAAACACAAAGUGAAUCAACAACAGAAGAAAAUAUGCCUUCUGGAGUGACCCAGUCAGAGUCCUGACCUCAACCUGAUUGAGAUGCUGUGGCAUGACCUCAAGAGAGCAGUUCACACCAGACUUCCCAAGAAUAUUGCUGAACGGAAACAGUUUUGUAAAGAGGAAUGGUCCAAAAUUCCUCCUGACCGUUGUGCAGGUCUGAUCCGUAACUACAGAAAACGUUUGGUUGAGGUUAUUGCUGCCAAGGAGGGUCAACCAGUUAUUCAAUCCAAUGGUUCACACACUUUUCCCACCCUGUACUCUGAAUCUUUACACUGUGUGUUCAAUAAAGACAUGAAAAUGUACAAUUGUUUGCAUGUAAUUAGAAGACUGUGUUUGUUUAUUGUUGUGACCUAGAUUAAGAUCUGAUCAAAUUUUAUGACCAAUUUAUGCAGAAAUCCAGGUAUUUCCAAAGGGUUCACAUACUUUUUCUUGCCACUGUAGUUGCACACAGGAUUUCUUAACUGUUUUAUCUUAAAUAGCCUAUUUCUUAUUGUCCUUUUAAUGUUUAUAGGUCUGCUUCUUGUUACUUUGUUAGCACUUACUCUUACCUCAUAGUAGCCUGUGACUUUGUUUACUUAUAUAAUAAAGUCAGACACGCGCUGUAUAGGGUAAUCAUUUAACGCACGUGUCAAACUCAUUCCAUGCAGGGCUAAGUGUCUGCGUGUUGUAGGCCUAACCCCUUGCCGAGCAUCUGAGUUUUUUUCCUUUUAAUUAAGACCUAGACAACCAGGUGAGGGGGGUUAUUUACUAAUUAGUGACCUUAAUUCAACAAUCAAGUACAAGGGCGGAGUGAAAACCCACAGACACUCGGCCCUCCGCGGAAUGAGCUUGACACGUGCACGGAGGCCCUCCAUGGUAUGAGUUUGACACCCCUGAUUUAAUGAAAAUAAACUACAUUUCACCACCUUUUUCAGGGAGGGUUGAGGAACCCACAUAGGCUGUGUUUACACAGGCAGCCCAUUUCUGUCUCGCCCAAUUGUUUAUGCCAAUAGUUCAGAAUUGUGCUGCCUGUGUAAAGACAGCCAUAGUUCAUUCUAUUACCCUAAAUGGUUGGAAGUAUACAGAAAUGUAUGACUUUGUUUUUGUUGGUAUCUAAUAAUUUGAUUUGCUUUUUAAAGUGUCACACUUCCUAUAAGAUAGCAGAUGGCAGAGACGUGACUUGUUUAUGCUGGUUUUACAUGCUUUUGGUCUGAUAUCUGUUACUUCUCUGUUGGAUAGCAUGUAAAUGUCUCUUCCCCUUAUACCAUGGAAUAAAUUCUGUUCA